rnacentral:rRNA from 1 species
AUUGAACGUUGCGGCACGCCUAAUACAUGCAAGUCGAACGAGAAAGCGCUUCGGGUGUGAGUAAAGUGGCGGACGGGUGAGUAACGCGUAGGAAUUUGCCUAGCAGUGGGGGACAACUCGGGGAAACUCGAGCUAAUACCGCAUAAUAUCUACGGAUUAAAGUGGGGGAUCUUCGGACCUCACGCUGCUAGAGGAGCCUGCGUAAGAUUAGCUAGUUGGUGGGGUAAAGGCCUACCAAGGCGACGAUCUUUAGCUGGUCUGAGAGGAUGAUCAGCCACACUGGGACUGAGACACGGCCCAGACUCCUACGGGAGGCAGCAGUGGGGAAUAUUGGACAAUGGGGGCAACCCUGAUCCAGCCAUGCCGCGUGUGUGAAGAAGGCCUUAGGGUUGUAAAGCACUUUCAAUUGGGAAGAAAAGCUUGUCCUUAAUACGGGCAAGCCCUGACAUUACCUUUAGAAGAAGCACCGGCUAACUCCGUG